rnacentral:rRNA from 1 species
CCUACGGGUGGCAGCAGUGAGGAAUAUUGGUCAAUGGACGCAAGUCUGAACCAGCCAUGCCGCGUGAAGGAAGACGGCUCUAUGAGUUGUAAACUUCUUUUGUACGAGGAUAAACGCAGAUACGCGUAUCUGUCUGAAAGUACCCUAUGAAUAAGGAUCGGCUAACUCCGUGCCAGCAGCCGCGGUAAUACGGAGGAUUCGAGCGUUAUCCGGAUUUAUUGGGUUUAAAGGGUGCGUAGGCGGGCGUUUAAGUUAGCUGUGAAAUCGCGGGGCUCAACUUGGGAAUUGCAUUUGAUACUGGUCGGCUAGAGAGUAGUUGAGGUAGGCGGAAUGUGUGGUGUAGCGGUGAAAUGCUUAGAGAGCAUGCAGAACACCGAUUGCGAAGGCAGCUUACCAAGCUGCCACUGACGUUGAGGCACGAAAGCGUGGGGAGCAAACAGGAUUAGAUACCCGUGUAGUC